AAGAAGGGAGAGGUGGCUCCCGCCGCUCCUCCUGCCCACAUCUACCCUCCACGUCAAUCACCCUCAUUAAUUCCCGCUGGAAAGGAUCACACAGGAGAAGUUCAUCAACUGCUGCUUGGAAAAGGCUGGAGGGCAGGGAAUGGUGUAGAGGGGGAAAGGGCUUGUCCUUGCUGGAGGGGAUUGGGGGCUCUGCUCCUCCUGACCUCCAAGGGGAGCUGAACUGAGCUGAGCUAUCCUUUCUAUCUUCUCAGACCAGUUUACCCCUUCUCUCCAGUGAAAACUCCACUCAACUUGUGAGCUGAUAUGCACCUGUCCUGGCCCCACCUUGGCUGAGAGGUGGCUCCCAAUCUCUGAGGGAGACAAGCCCUUCGCAGAAAGUGCCCAAGAAUUAAUGGGAAUGGGGAAGCUCAGUCCCACUCCUGGCUACUACCAGGCAACCCAAUAGGGCACUGCUUAGCUGCCCCGGGGUGUGGAGGUGCGGGUAGUGAUUCUGUGACUGUGGGAGACACAGGGGGAUCCAGAUGGAAGCACUGUUCCUGAAAACAAACCUAAGGAAACUUCUGGAGUCUUUGAAGGCUGAGCACCCAGCACGGCACCUGGCACACAGGCUAAAUGGUGGCACGUGGAAUAAAUGGAUGAGGUUUAAUGCUGAUUGGACCAUUAGCAUCUCCAGAGCUACAUGCCUCUCCCCUCGGUGGCUGUGGGUGUGGAGACUCAGCAAAGCCUGAAGAAUGAAAACAGUGGGCACUCAGAAAAGAGGAUGGCCAGGGAGCUGAUGUUUGUUCUGAGGGCCCUCCAACAUGCGCCAGGCGCCUUCCUGGACUCAGGGUAGCACUCCUGGGACGCAACGCACGCAGAGCCAAGACCAAGCCAUGGCUGGACUCCAAUCUCUACCCCUCUGUGGACCCAAAUUGACAGAGGCCGACCCUGCCCUCAAGGAGCAUUCAGAUUCAGGGGAAAGGCACAACCUUGCCCCCAAAGAGCCCCUGGUCUAAGAGAAAACUGAAACCCAUUUAAAGAACUCUAAGAUGACAGGACUUCCCUGGUGGUCCAGUGGCUAAGACUCUGGAGGAAGGGGACCGAGGUUGAUCCCUGGUCGGGGAACUAGAUCCCACAUGCCACAACUAAGACCCCAUGCAGCCAGAUAACUAAAUAUUUUUUUAAAAGAACACAAACAUGGGAAUCCAAAGGAAACUCUCCAACUGGAUCAAGAUGAGUGGAGGAUGAAUGAGGGUUGGGGAGAGAAGCACUGUGCGCUCAGAGCUUAGGCAGUAGCUGUCCUGACUUGAGGGCGCCCCUGUUCCUACAUGGGUCAGCUCACUCCUGGCUCCUCCAUCCGGAAGCUCAUUCCCUGACCCCCUCAUUCCCACAAUGCACUGCGCGGGGAGUUGUGCAAGGGUCAGGCGGCAGGGUGGCAGGCUGGCUGGAGAGGGGAGAUUGCUGUCUCCCUCCAACUCCCUGAGGCCUUCCCUCCUGCAGCCCGGCCUCUGUGCAGCAAGCACCCUCCUCCGCGGUUGUUGUCGGCUGUCUGGCCUGAGGCUUCCCCUCCCUCCCCCACACCUUCCUGCCCAAGAACAGCGGCCAGAGGCCUAAACAGGAGAAAGCCAGAGGCCUAAGACAGGAGAAAGCCAGAGGCAAGAGCGGGCUGAGGCAUGGCUGAGUCCACAAGAGCAAGAAGAGAGUCAAAUGUCCCCUGGACAGAGCCUUGUGCUGGGAGGUUUCCUGCCUGAGAUGGGCAUCAGUAAGCACCCAACAAAUAUAGCAGGACUUAGCCCCAGGCUCAGAGACGCCCAAGGUGGACUCUAGAUUUAAAACUAUGAAAAUCAGAGGGUCCUGGAGAGAGAUGUGAGUGAGUGGUUUUAUAACACUCCCAGCCAUCUCCACCUGUAACUGCCUACCUUGGAAG
ensembl:lncRNA